AUAAGUACUAAAAUGCUAUAGUGUAAAUUAACAUAAGUCGGAAUCUAAAUGAUCCGGAGACCUAAAAAAGAAACAAUUGUUCAAUACAGGUCGCAGUGUUUGUAUAAUGCGAUGUGUUUACUUUUUGAUAAAUACUUAUUAUUAGUAUUUAUAUGACGGCUUGCGAGAACCCCGGAUUUUGCAAUGUAAACUCCACGCACCAAACGUGGUGUAUACUGUAGAUAAUAACAUCUAUAAUUAUAAUUGUAUGAAUCAAGGACAGUGAUGAUGAUGAUAUGAUCGUCAUCUAUAGCAAGAUAUUAAAUUCUUCAUCAUAAAAAAAAAUAAAUAUGAAUGGAUGGCGUGAAGGCCAGAAACUUUAGGUCUCCUGACUCCAUUUAAUGACGUAACAAAACUCAGGACACAACAA